UGAUUUGAAAGCAGUAGUACCGCAGAGUUAGUAAGCAGCACACUAAAGUGCGUUUCGUUUUAAUUAUACAGUAACUGGUGUAUCUGGUUAUAAAGAAAGGAGUUCCCAGUAUACCAAAUUGAUGUCAGAUAUCACAGUGGUCACAGUAUAUAUCGAAACAUACCCAAUAUAUGUGUCGCAAACAUCCUCUGAUGUGACAAAACGAACUUUCAUGGCCAUUUCUAUCCCACUUAAUUUUUACCCCCACUUUCUUUAUCAUUACUUCAUUCUUCUUUUCAUUCAGCUCCUAUCGUUCAAUUCAGUUAGUUGCCAUUCGUUAUUUUAUCUCUGAUACAACUUUUGUAUACACAAUAAUAUAAGAUUCUUUAAUUGCAUUAAGAAUGAUUCUUUGAAAUUAAAGUUUACACAAAAUGUAAUUUUGAUCAAAAUUUAGAGGCUGAUUUUCUUGAUUAUAACAAUUGAGUUUGCAGUUGAUUUUUUAAUAUUGAUCUAUCAAUAUGUAGAUAUAGACUCUAUGUACAAUUGAAUCAAGUCAAUAUUUACAACUAGUGUGAACAAAAUUUACCUUCAGGACAAAUAAUUUAUUCCGAUUUAAUGACAAGGUAGAGAUAGAGACUGCGGUUGUACAUUUACACUCAAGAUGGAUGAAGAAUCAACGACAUCAAAUAAUCAAUUUAAUUACCAAGGCUCAUUGAAAAUUCAAUUAAAAAACAAAAA